GAGGGUACAGCUCAAGUGGUAGGGCGCAUGCUUAGCAUGCAUGACGUCCGAGGUUCAAACCCUGGUACCUCCU
rnacentral:tRNA from 1 species